CCCAUUCUAAAAUUCCAUAACAUAAUACACUAUCUCUAAAGACAGAUGUAGAAUCACAAAAUGUAACUUGACGUUGUUUACUCACAUUAGCCUCUUCAAAGUAAUAGAGUCCUUCUCUUUCCUUAGCACUGUCAAUCUUCUUCCUCGAUAAUAGGUCUUGAAAACACAAUGAGAUGGUAGAAACUUAGCAGAGCAAUUUGAAUUUUUGGUCAAUUGACUUAUGGACAGUAGAUUGCAUGAUAAACUGGGAAUAUUGAGGACAGAUUUUAAAGUUAUAGAAUCAGAGAUUUUUAUACUCCUUUUUUCUACGACUGAAGAGAGUAAGCCAUCUGCAAUUUUAACUUAAAGAUUACCAGCACAAGUAGAAUAUGUGGAGAAUAGAUUGUAGGAGUCCGUCAUGUCAUCAGAUGCUCCUGAGUCAAUAAUCCAGGGAGUUUUAAAUUGAGUUAUAGACUUCAAUGCUCUUAAGAAAUUACCUCUGUGGGCUAGUGAGCUCGUCGGGUUGUCGAAAACAAUUUGUAGAGUUGCUCCAUUCAUUCAGAAUUAAACGCACAACUAGACUCCUUGGAUUUUUCCGUUUGAUAAUUAACUAAUGCCUGGUAUCCACGAUUUUUAUUAUUUUAUCUCGGUUUCCAAUCGCUCGGUUUUCCAUGUAUAUCCCAACAUGUAUCUUCUCUGUGCCCUGGUUUUCGACAAUGCUCACAUCAAAGCCGACCCCUUUGCUGUUUUGGACCUGACCCAUUUGUUGUCCCUUUAGAAUAUAGGCCAAUCAUUCCCGACCCAAUGCUAGAUUUAUUUUGUACAUGAUUAAAAAUAGCUCCACUGUGCAAAUUAGUCGGCCAGUCAUUCCAGGCCCGUUACUAAAUUCAUUUGGCCCAUGAGUGAACGUAGCUUCUCUACCCGAAUUAGCAGGCCCUUUAUUGGAAGGCCCAAUUUCUUUAGACAUCAAGCUAGAGACUUCAACACUUGGAGGCCCAAACACACUGGUUUCACUCAACAUUAUCUUGCGUCGGGUUUCUUCUUGUUGUACCUCUGUGAAAACUUCUCACGGUGAGGGAAGGGGUCGUCGGCCAAGAAUUCGCCCCCCGACGUAGUCUAGGACGCGGUAGAGUCCUGCCAAGAAUUAAUUCAUACACGCGUUCAUUUUCCAGUUUCUUCUUGUAUCGAACACUGCCUUCAGCACACGUCCAUUCUUCUUCAGAACUUUGGUCGAGUUCUUGCCACAACCCAUUCAUCUCAAGGUAGUAGUCAGUCACUUCUCGUUCCCCUUGCUUCAUUUGCC
rnacentral:lncRNA from 1 species